GGGGAUUUAGCUCGGUGGUUCCAGCGCCUGCUUCACAAGCACAAGGUUCCGAGUUCAAUCCCCGGGUUCAAUCCCCA
rfam:Heterocephalus glaber contig172665, whole genome shotgun sequence.